rnacentral:rRNA from 1 species
GAUGAACGCUGGCGGCGUGCCUAAUACAUGCAAGUCGAGCGAACGGACGAGAAGCUUGCUUCUCUGAUGUUAGCGGCGGACGGGUGAGUAACACGUGGAUAACCUACCUAUAAGACUGGGAUAACAUCGGGAAACCGGGGCUAAUACCGGAUAAUAUUUUGCACCGCAUGGUUCAAAAGUGAAAGACGGUCUUGCUGUCACUUAUAGAUGGAUCCGCGCUGCAUUAGCUAGUUGGUAAGGUAACGGCUUACCAAGGCAACGAUGCAUAGCCGACCUGAGAGGGUGAUCGGCCACACUGGAACUGAGACACGGUCAAGACUCCUACGGGAGGCAGCAGGAGGGAAGCUUCCGCAAUGGGCGAAAGCCUGACGGAGCAACGCCGCGUGAGUGAUGAAGGUCUUCGGAUCGUAAAACGCUGUUAUUAGGGAAGAACAUAUGUGUAAGUAACUGUGCACAUCUUGACGGUACCUAAUCAGAAAGCCACGGCUAACUACGUG